AUUUUUAUUUUAAUAUUAUUUCUGCUUGUAGAAUGAAUGUACCGCUGAAGUGGAAUCGUCAGGUACACUUUCUAAUUGUUUUUGUCUUGUUCGCGAUUCUGGUAUUGAAUUGCCAGAAAUUGUGUUGGGGUGGUCAUUUCAAAUAAAUAUAUCAUUUCCCGCUCCUCAAGUAUAGGCAACCAAUAUAACAUCUUUUCUCGUCAAAUUGUCAGGUCGCAAAAACUUGUUUUGAAUCCCAUCUGUGAAAUAUAGAUACAUCAAUUGGAACUCAUUUUUCCGCAUUUCUCGAGUGUAGAGCAUCUCAGCUAAUCCGAAUAAAGAUUUUCUGUCUUCGACCAUUUGAGUUGGAUUAUUUGGAAAAUUGCAGAUAAUAUCAUAAUUUUGCUGAUUAUUUUGGAUAUUUAUAUCACGUUUUGGAAUCAAGCAGAAUUUCCGUCUUGUACGGGAUAAAAAUUCUACAUACUCUGAUAGAAAUUUCUAUAAAAGCCGCCCUCCAUCUUAGGCUUUCAAUUCUUUCAAUUCUUCUGAAUAUUUUACUGAUUCGAUAUAUAAGUGGAUCAACCUGAAUUAUUGGCGUGUUGGUUGAUGCAAAGACAUCCCUUGGACAUAGGCACCCCCAUUGCCUUAUACUGAGGGUUGGAAUAACUUCUAACCGGUUGGGAGCGAACCGAAUUCAACAUUUCCA